rnacentral:rRNA from 1 species
GACGAACGCUGGCGGCGUGCUUAACACAUGCAAGUCGAACGGAAAGGCCCUGCUUUUGUGGGGUGCUCGAGUGGCGAACGGGUGAGUAACACGUGAGUAACCUGCCCUUGACUUUGGGAUAACUUCAGGAAGCUGGGGCUAAUACCGGAUAGGAGCUCCUGCUGCAUGGUGGGGGUUGGAAAGUUUCGGCGGUUGGGGAUGGACUCGCGGCUUAUCAGCUUGUUGGUGGGGCAGUGGCUUACCAAGGCUUUGACGGGUAGCCGGCCUGAGAGGGUGACCGGCCACAUUGGGACUGAGAUACGGCCCAGACUCCUACGGGAGGCAGCAGUGGGGAAUAUUGCACAAUGGGCGGAAGCCUGAUGCAGCAACGCCGCGUGCGGGAUGACGGCCUUCGGGUUGUAAACCGCUUUCGCCUGUGACGAAGCGUGAGUGACGGUAAUGGGUAAAGAAGCACCGGCUAACUACGUG